AGGCUUUCUGCAGAUUGCUAGUUCCAGCAGGGAGAUGGAGCCAGGAGGAUAGGAAAUGGGGCUGUUCAUGCGGGGGUCUCUUGGGAUGUGAGGUUGGAAGCCAGACCACGGACCCAAGUGCAGCCCGCACCAGCUGCUGUCAUGCCUCAAGGCCAUCUUCUGAUGCUCCAAAGCUUGACAUCCUUUUAUCUCAGCCUGAGAAGAUGCCAAAGUCAACAAUAAUGCCCUUGCUUGCCACCGGUCUCUAAGAAAAUCCAUCUGUCAGGGAGCGGAUAGUAUGGACACAAGCUGAGGCUCUGAAAGAGUUUGUCUGACGCAUGUCCACAGCCCUAGAAUCCUGGAUCCAUACCCAGAAGACCCACCACAAAGACAAGAGCUACAAAAUGACUGUAAGACUGGAGAAAUGGACGAAUCCUGAGCAGAGAGCAGCCCCACAGUGUGAAUGGCCAGCCGCUCCCAGCCACGGCACAGAAAGCAUAUCGGGAACCUUAAGUAGAGGAGGUUUGGAGGCUUCUAGGAUACCUCAGACACCCUCUUCCCUUCCCUGAACAAAAAAGCCCUCUGUGAUGGCUAAUAUCAUCCAUUUGAUGGAUCUAGAAUCGCCUAGGAGACACUCCUCUGGGCGUGACUAGGAGGAGUUAAUUGGGUUAAUUGAGACUGGGUUUAUUUGAAGAAACCUAUCCUGGAUAUGGGCAGCACCAUUCCCUAGGCUGGGUUCCAGGACUGAAUAAAAAGAAAGUGAGCUGAGCACCAGCAUCCAUCUCUCUCUGCUUCCUGACUGUGGAUGCCAUGGGACCAGCUGCCUCAUGCCUUCCCCACCAUGGACUGUAUUCCCUAGAACCAUGAGUCACAGUAAACCCUCCUCCCUUAAGCAGCUUCUGUCAGGUACUCUGUCACUACAAUAAGAAAAAUAAUUAACAUGUCCCUGUAUGUUAUAAAUUGUACCAGCCCAACUAUUUGAACUCAUUGGAUUUGGUUUCUGUAUUGUCAUAAGACUUGUCUGUGCAAUUACACAUGUGUCACGGAAAAUAAAAAAGCAUAGAGAGGCAAGCCCAAAA